UACGUAGGGUGCAAGCGUUGUCCGGAAUUAUUGGGCGUAAAGGGCUCGUAGGCGGUCUGUCGCGUCAGGAGUGAAAACUCGGGGCUUAACCCCGAGCCUGCUUCUGAUACGGGCAGACUAGAGGUAUGCAGGGGGAGAACGGAAUUCCUGGUGUAGCGGUGAAAUGCGCAGAUAUCAGGAGGAACACCGGUGGCGAAGGCGGUUCUCUGGGCAUUACCUGACGCUGAGGAGCGAAAGUGUGGGGAGCGAACAGG
rnacentral:rRNA from 1 species